GACCAUCUCCUCCCCGGUUUUCCGUGGACGAGCUUUGGGAUCGCCUCUGGCCUUCCUUAAAUGCCUUAGUGUGACGAAACAUCAGUUGUCUCCGUCUGCACUUUAAACCCCUAGUGACUACACUCUUG
rnacentral:misc_RNA from 1 species